CCUACGGGAGGCAGCAGUGGGGAAUAUUGCACAAUGGGCGCAAGCCUGAUGCAGCCAUGCCGCGUGUGUGAAGAAGGCCUUCGGGUUGUAAAGCACUUUCAGCGGGGAGGAAGGCGUUAAGGUUAAUAACCUUGGCGAUUGACGUUACCCGCAGACGAAGCACCGGCUAACUCCGUGCCAGCAGCCGCGGUAAUACGGAGGGUGCAAGCGUUAAUCGGAAUUACUGGGCGUAAAGCGCACGCAGGCGGUCUGUCAAGUCGGAUGUGAAAUCCCCGGGCUCAACCUGGGAACUGCAUUCGAAACUGGCAGGCUAGAGUCUUGUAGAGGGGGGUAGAAUUCCAGGUGUAGCGGUGAAAUGCGUAGAGAUCUGGAGGAAUACCGGUGGCGAAGGCGGCCCCCUGGACAAAGACUGACGCUCAGGUGCGAAAGCGUGGGGAGCAAACAGGAUUAGAUACCCUUGUAGUC
rnacentral:rRNA from 1 species